rnacentral:RNase_P_RNA from 1 species
CAACUGUAGUAAAUGAUCGCGGCUUACCGGAAUUUUACGGUAAGGUGAGGAAAGUCCGGGCUUCACAGGGCAGGAUGCCGGAUAACGUCCGGUGGAGGUGACUCCAAGGCCAGUGCAACAGAAAUAUACCGCCCCGUGCGGAAGCAUAGGGAAGAAGCCUGCAUGCAGGCUUCUUCGGACACUUCUGUAUAGCAGAAGCGUUUGGUAAGGGUGGAAGGGUGGUGUAAGAGACCACCGCCUCCGCGGUAACGCGGAGGGCACAUGUAAACCCCAUCCGAAGCAAGACCAAACAGGGAACUAUAGAUUUGCCCGGUCUGUUCCCAGGUAGGUCGCUUGAGGCUGAUGGCAACGUCAGUCCUAGAUAGAUGAUCAUUCGUGCCGCUGUGAAAAUAGCGGCACUGACAUAACCCGGCUUAUCGCUGCGGUUGCCGA